rnacentral:rRNA from 1 species
GAGGGGGAUAACUACUGGAAACGGUAGCUAAUACCGCAUAAUGUCUACGGACCAAAGUGGGGGACCUUCGGGCCUCAUGCCAUCAGAUGUGCCCAGAUGGGAUUAGUAGUAGGUGGGGUAAUGGCUCACCUAGGCGACGAUCCUAGCUGGUCUGAGAGGAUGACCAGCCACACUGGAACUGAGACACGGUCCAGACUCCUACGGGAGGCAGCAGUGGGGAAUAUUGCACAAUGGGCGCAAGCCUGAUGCAGCCAUGCCGCGUGUGUGAAGAAGGCCUUCGGGUUGUAAAGCACUUUCAGCGAGGAGGAAGGGUUCAGUGUUAAUAGCACUGUUCAUUGACGUUACUCGCAGAAGAAGCACCGGCUAACUCCGUGCCAGCAGCCGCGGUAAUACGGAGGGUGCAAGCGUUAAUCGGAAUUACUGGGCGUAAAGCGCACGCAGGCGGUUUGUUAAGUCAGAUGUGAAAUCCCCGCGCUUAACGUGGGAACUGCAUUUGAAACUGGCAAGCUAGAGUCUUGUAGAGGGGGGUAGAAUUCCAGGUGUAGCGGUGAAAUGCGUAGAGAUCUGGAGGAAUACCGGUGGCGAAGGCGGCCCCCUGGACAAAGACUACGCUCCAGUCGAAAGCG